rnacentral:lncRNA from 1 species
GAGAACAGGUAUUUUAUAAAUUUUCAUCAUAUGAGAUGAUGGGAAUUUGUAAAGAACCUUUAUAAAUUUCCAUCAUCACAUAUUGAUUGAUUUUAUUAUUUAAUAAUCGGGAUUUAAAAAAAAAUAACGUGGUGAUGUCCGUGAAAAAUCAGUGAAAAGAAAAACGAAACGCGUAAUUUGUAUUUCGCCACCUCAUUAAUGCGUGCCAGGCAAUUUUUAAGAAAGCUGAAAGCUUUCCAUCAAAAGUUGGGAUGUUUCGAUGGUGUCGUGACGUCAUCAGAUAUACAUAAAUGUUUCUAGUUACAUUCAUCAAUGACGGUAGCGAGCGGUGACGACGCCUUCUUCUUCUUUAGCGAUGGAGAGUGUCAUGCGAAGAAUCCGACUUCGUCCGAAAUCUCCGCCCUAAACCUAUCUCGAACCUCACGGGAUCUUUAUCACGCGAGAUUACCGCGUGAAGUUAUUUAAGUUUAUCUCACGCAUUUCCGGGUGAGAUGGAGCUGAUGAGAAGUGAUUACCGGCAACUCGUCUCCGCCCGUUUUCUUACGCAAACACGACGACAAAUGGAGAAUUUUGCUAAGUUGCUGCCGUAUCGCCGAAAACUACUUUUGAUGACGACAAAAAUUAGUAUAAUUUUGCAAGAAAACUAUUUGAAAAAUAGCAAAUUAACGGGUUUUUCGCCAUGGGAUCGUCCUAUAGUCAACGCAACGUGGCUGUGCAAGCAGUAGCUAACUGUUUGAUCAGACGUUCCUUUUUUUUUUUAUAUAUACAUAUAUUCCGGAG